CACUGGACUGAGUGGGCAGCGUGGACGAUGAGCUGGGGUCUGGGCUCCGGGCAGGAGUCACCACCUGGGGGAGUGGGGGAGGACUGAUCUGGGCUCUGCUAUGAAUGGGGCCUGUAGUCGGGCUCCCUGGAGCCUCCGCAGGUCAGGACACGAGUCAGACACCUCUGCUCCCCAAGAACCCCACGUUCCUGCCACUCAGGGCUGCGGGCGGGGUGUCCUGGCCAAAGCCUCCAUCCAGGCCCCCCUCGUCUUCCCCUUGGCCACCUGCUGCAAAGGCACCAUCGCCACUGCCCCGUCCGUGACACUGGGCUGCCUGGUCACGGGCUACUUCCCGAUGCCGGUGACUGUGACCUGGGAUGCAGGGUCCCUGAACAAGAGCGUCGUGACCCUCCCCGCCACCCUCCAGGAGACCUCUGGCCUCUACACCACCACCAGCCACGUGACCGUCUCGGGCGAGUGGGCCAAACAGAAGUUCACCUGCAGUGUGGCUCACGCGGAGUCCCCCACCAUCAACAAGACCGUCAGUGGUGAGCCAGGGUCGGGCUGGAGGAGGGGGGCAGGCGUGGCGGGAGCGGCUAGGAGAGGAGGAAGGCGCCUGGGCGGCCACGUGGGUGUCGUGGGCUCAGGGGGCUGACGCCACGCUGCCACCU